rnacentral:misc_RNA from 1 species
GAUGAAGAACGCAGCGAAAUGCGAUACUUGGUGUGAAUUGCAGAAUCCCGCGAAUCAUCGAGUUUUUGAACGCAAGUUGCGCCCGAAGCCAUUCGGCCGAGGGCACGUCUGCCUGGGUGUCACGCAUCGUUGCCCCCCCAAACUCCGGUUCGGGCGGGGCGGAAGUUGGCCUCCCGUGCGUGCCUGCGCGCGCGGUUAGCCCAAAAGCGAGUCCUCGGCGACGAGCGCCACGACAAUCGGUGGUUUUUUUACCCUCGUUCCUCGUCGUGCAUGUCCCGUCGCCCGAACGCGCUCUUGUGACCCUCACGCGUCGCCUCGGCGGCGCUCCCAACGCGACCCCAGGUCAGGCGGGACUACCCGCUGAGUUUAAGCAUAUCAAUAAGCGGAGGA